AAAAAUAAUAAUAAUAAUAACGGAAAUAAUUAGUAGAAAAUGUUAUGGUAUGUUUUAUCAGAAUUCUGUAUCCUUUAGUUAUUUAUAUCCAUGAUGGAAAAUUUUAAAAACAGAGCCAAACAGGUUGAUUUUAAGAACUUAACUUUGGUCGGGCGUGGUGGCUCACACCUGUAAUCUCAGCACUUUGGGAGGCCGAGGCGGGCAGAUCACUUGAGGUCCGGAGUUCAAGACCAGCCUGGCCAACAUGGUAAACCCCCGUCUCUACUAAAAAUACAAAAAUUAGCCAGGCGUGGUGGCAUGCACCUGUAAUUCCAGCUACUUGGGUAGCUG
rnacentral:lncRNA from 1 species